GUGAAAAAGAUGAAACCGGAAACAAUCCAAACUUGGCGAUACUCAGACGAAAGGUGGGGUAUUAGUGGAAAGCACUGCUGAUCAAUUGAGGAAUGUGACAGUAUAUGAGCCACAGCCAGGAAAAUAAUGCCUCCACAAACUUCCAAAAAAUAAGAGUUGCUUUUUGUAUUUUGGGAAAAGUCCAGAAGGAAAAAAAAAUCACACAUUUGACAGAAUUGCAAGAUUCUCUUUUGCUAUCAGACUGAUGGAGACAUAAGAAAAACCAGUUCUAACAAGAACAGAAGAACCCAGUCAGGGAGAAAACUAUGAAAAAAGCUUUGCAUGCGGCAGUCACGUUGCCAUCUGUCUCUGCAACCCGCUGGUACCCUGUAGUGCCCAGGGACAGCACUUUGCAAUCGUUCGAAUUGAAAUCUGGCACUGGGAGAGGUCUCGAUUUUGCACCUCCUGGCUCCACCCCCAGCGCCGAGUUGGGCAUCAGUAGCUGAAACAGGAAGCAAGAUGCAGUGCACCCAGAGAGAGAUAAAAGUGCUUCUGAAGGAGGAGGAAGAAGAGGAGAUUUGAAGAGAAAGAGCUGGGAAUUGUGGCUUCAGCUGUCCUCAGAGUAAAGGACGAGGUUCUUACACAAUGGUGUGUUAUGUUUGUCGUUUUCCUUUCAACGUUUACACACAAAACCUGACCACUUAGACCACCCUGUUGCUGUUACCUAACAAAGACAAAUAAAAGGCAAAACUCCUUUAA